AGGAAGCAGGGUGAGAGCAGAGCUGGGGACCCUCCCGAAGAGGAUCUGCACUACGCCUCGGUGACUGCAAGGGGACGUCCCCAGCCCCUGAGAGAACAUGUCACAACGUACGCCAGCAUCGUGCCGCCGAGGGAGCCACCUUGCUAGCUCGCCGGGACCAUGCCGUGGCACGGGGGAGCAGCACGGCGAGGAAGGGCUGCGCCCUGUCACUCUGCAAGACCCAAAGCUCAGUGCAUGCUGGUGGCAGCUGGUUCCCAACAGCACCUGGGGCGCCGAGCUGGCUCUGCUUUGCGCUUCUUGGGUCUCUGCCCAGGUUUGCUGCAGGAAGGAAGCUCUUCUUCACCUUCACCUUGUACCUGGUGUGGGGUCUUCAGUGGGAGUGUGCACCGCUGCUAACGGUGCAGGUUUUUUCAUGCUCCAAAUGCUGAAGACCCUGGAAGCCUUCUGCGCCUGCCAGGUUGUCCUUUCAGGUGCUCCGCUUAGAGCUCAGAUGCUGCCAUGCAAGGCGGCUGCACCACAGCACGUCCUGAAGGAGACCUUUUCCACCUGGCAACCUCCUGGUGCCCCUUUGUGGGGGCCUGCAAGGAUUCCCAGCUGCUUUUCCUCUCUUCCUACCCUCUCCAUACUGGGGAUGCCAGCAAAGCCUCUGGCAGGCUGCUGCUGCUGAGGAGCUCAACCAGGAGAAGUGAAAAAGAGGGUUGAUGCCUUCAGUGUCUUGGGACCUCAACGCUUGCUUUUCUGCAUGAUGCUUUCUGAAGACCGUGUGCAUAGGACAUACAGAUUUCGUGUGUCCCCCAAUGUGCUGGCACGAAGUUGCCUCCAUGCACCUUGCAGUGCUGCAGCCGUGUGAGCACAGCUUUGAGUGUGGUGUGCAAUAAAU